CUUGGUCAUUUAGAGGAAGUAAAAGUCGUAACAAGGUUUCCGUAGGUGAACCUGCGGAAGGAUCAUUAUUGAAUAAACUUGGGAUAGGCUGCUGCUGGCCCUUCUGGGCAUAUGUGCAUACCUAUUCUGACUUUAUAACCACCUGUGCACUUUGUGUAGAUCUGAACAACUUUCGAGGUAAAAACUCGGUUUAAAGGAUUGCCGUGCGCGCCAUGCCGGCUUUCCUUCAUAUUUCAGAUCUAUGUUUUACUAUACUCCGCAUUUAAGUACUUGAAUGACAUAAUUAGGCAUUAUGAUUUGCCUGUAAAAACAAUAUACAACUUUCAACAACGGAUCUCUUGGCUCUCGCAUCGAUGAAGAACGCAGCGAAAUGCGAUAAGUAAUGUGAAUUGCAGAAUUCAGUGAAUCAUCGAAUCUUUGAACGCACCUUGCGCUCCUUGGUAUUCCGAGGAGCAUGCCUGUUUGAGUGUCGUGAAAUUCUCAACCAUUCAAGCUUUUUUGAAGCUAGUUUGGCUUGGAUCUUGGGAGUUUGCUGGUUCUAAUGGAUCGGCUCUCCUUAAAUGUAUUAGCAAGAUUAGUCACUGAAUUGUCGUUGAUAUGAUAAUUAUCUAUAUCAUUGAUAAAAACAGUGCUUUCCUUCGUGGAAAGAUCUGGCUUUCUAACUGUCUGUUAAAGACAAUUUAACGAAUCAUUUGACCUCAGAUCAGGUAGGACUACCCGCUGAACUUAAGCAUAUCAAUAAGCGGAGGAAAAGAAACUAACAAGGAUUCCCCUAGUAACUGCGAGUGAAGCGGGAAAAGCUCAAAUUUAAAAUCUGGUGGUCUUUGACUACUCGAGUUGUAACCUAAAGAAGCGUUAUCCGCGCUGGACCGUGUACAAGUCUCCUGGAAUGGAGCGUCAUAGAGGGUGAGAAUCCCGUCUUUGACACGGACUACCAGGGCUUUGUGUUGCGCUCUCGAAGAGUCGAGUUGUUUGGGAAUGCAGCUCUAAAUGGGUGGUAAGUUCCAUCUAAAGCUAAAUAUUGGCGAGAGACCGAUAGCGAACAAGUACCGUGAGGGAAAGAUGAAAAGAACUUUGGAAAGAGAGUUAAACAGUACGUGAAAUUGUUGAAAGGGAAACGCUUGAAGUCAGUCGCAUUGACUGGGGAUCAACCUUGCUUUUUUGCUUGGUGCACUUCCUGGUUAAAUGGGUCAGCAUCAAUUUUGACUAGUGGAAAAAGUUCAAGGGAAUGUGGCAUCUUCGGAUGUGUUAUAGCCUUAGUUCGUAUACAUUAGUUGGGAUUGAGGAACUCAGCACGCCGCAAGGCCGGGUUUUUAACCACGUUCGUGCUUAGGAUGCUGGCAUAAUGGCUUUAAUCGACCCGUCUUGAAACACGGACC
rnacentral:rRNA from 1 species